rnacentral:rRNA from 1 species
AACGAACGCUGGCGGCAGGCUUAACACAUGCAAGUCGAACGCACCGCAAGGUGAGUGGCAGACGGGUGAGUAACACGUGGGGAUCUGCCCAAUGGUACGGAAUAGCUCCGGGAAACUGGAAUGAAUACCGUAUGUGCCCUUCGGGGGAAAGAUUUAUCGCCAUUGGAUGAACCCGCGUCGGAUUAGCUAGUUGGUGAGGUAAAGGCCCACCAAGGCGACGAUCCGUAGCUGGUCUGAGAGGAUGAUCAGCCACACUGGGACUGAGACACGGCCCAGACUCCUACGGGAGGCAGCAGUGGGAAUAUUGGACAAUGGGCGCAAGCCUGAUCCAGUCAUGCCGCGUGAGUGAUAAAGGCCUUAGGGUUGUAAAGCUCUUUCGCCGACGAAGAUAAUGACGGUAGUCGGAGAAGAAGCCCCGGCUAACUUCGUGCCAGCCGCCGCAGUAAGAC